AAUAUAAUUCAUUGGAAUACAGAUGUAUGACUAUCGAGUGAAUGACAAUUGAAGAAUAACUUUCAAUGUAAACUAAUAUAGCGAAGUUUAAAAAUAUGGAAACUCUUUCAACUCAAACUACAAUCGAAUAUUACCCAGGAAUAAGAGAAUGUAAGCCAAAAUUUCCGGAUUAUGCUUUGUUGUGUGCCCGGUUAAAAUCGUUUUCUUCGUGGUCUUCAGGGAAGAUAUCAAAUCCAGAAACCUUAUCAAAAGCGGGACUUUUCUUCUCAGGAAAAGGCGAUCUUGUAAUAUGUUUUUUCUGUGGUGGAAGUCUGAAAGAUUGGCAAAACGAGGAUGUUCCAUGGGUCGAGCAUGCGAGAUGGUUUCCAAACUGCAAAUAUGUGAAACUUUGCAAAGGAGAAAAUUUUGUAAAUGUUUGUCAUACAGCGGAUAAUACUAAAAGUAUAAACAUCAGUAAGGUAAUAUAUUCACUUUUAAUUAAGAAUAUGGGCAUCCUUAAACGACACCUCCGUGAUUGCAGAGAUUCAUUCUCAGCCAUAAUCUCCUUGCAAAAUACGUAAGAAUUGUAUUUGACUGAAAGAAUAAGAAUCAAGUUUCGAUUACUACAGUACUUUUUCAAACUUCGAUAAAUAAUUUAUAAUUAAAUAAGGAAAAAUAUUUUUCAACUACUAACAGCAGUCUUUUGUUUUCCAACGUAAAUGAUUUUAAAGUACAUAAAAUAUCUUAAAUUAUCUACAUACAUGUAUAUCAAUUAUCUUAUGGAAUGUAUUUAAAGUCAUAAAUGCUGCUAUUAUAUUGACAUAACCAUUUAUAAAUGUUGUUUUAUUGUUUGAUAUAAUAUUCUGGGCCGGUGGCCUUUAAUUAUGAAAUAAAUAGUUGAGUUGAGUUGUCUGAAAAGAAAUAGUGAAUUAAAGUAAAGACAAAGACAAAAUUAUGUUGUCACCUUCUUAAAAACUUGCAAAACUGUUUACAUCAAUAUGUUUACAUGCUUUGAACUUCAUAAAGCAAUUAGAGUUGAUGACGAAAGAAAACAUUCCAGAUGAUUGGAUGGUACGUAAACUUAUUAGUGAUAAAGCCAACACUAUCCUGGCUUCCGUGUUUGGACAGGGGGAGGACAAAAAGUAUGGUAAUUAUGUAAACAUACCUUACUUUUCAGAAAUCAAUUUAGGUUAAAUAAUUUUACCCUUGAAUAUUCCUUCCCAUCAGUAAUAUACAUUUAAAGCUAUGCUCAUAGCGGAAAAUAUACUCCGUCAAUGAUGGGAACCAGAAAAUGAUAUACGGGCUGAAGGCACUAUAUCACCAUGUUUUAAGAAUUUAUUUAUUUAUUAAUAUUUAUGAGAUAAAAUAUCAAAACUGUUCACUGAACUUAUGUGAUUAUAAAUUCAAUUAGAUCAAUAGAGCGGAUCAAUAAUGUUCACUCACAACUUUAUUAUGAAUUUUGUUAUUAAUUGAUUAUGUUAUUUUUUAUUUAUAUAUUGUACGGACGUGAAUGAGUGUACGACAACAGCGGACGGGAAGCGUCGUUUGUACAAUGAUUCGCGGCGACACACCUUAAAAUAGUAUAUGGAUUCGGAAUAGCACUAUUUGUCGGAUGACAAGAGUGCAUAUCUACCACAGGAAACAACUUAACACCGAUAAUAAAAGACACCCAAACGAGGGACAUCCAUUCAUCAUCAUGAUCUGGAUGAUACAGAAGGGCAGAGGUGACAUGCGGAAAAUUAAAAUUAACAAAUGCAAACAACAAAUGUUUAAUCGUGGCCACGAGAUAAUAAUAAUAAAAAAACCCAUUUAACUCGCGGCCACGAGAUAAUGAUAAUAAAAAACUACUUAACUCGCGGCCACGAAAUAAUGACAAAUAUCAGAAAUAUCUCGAAGCCACGUUAUAAAUUAACGAGAAACUCGCCCGUGACCACGAGAUAAAAAAAACUAGUCUAACUCGUGACCACGAGAAAUAAAAUCAAGCACAAAUGUACACAGAGAAAAGAAAAAGCCAUAAGUAAAUUCGUGACCACGAGAUGAUAUUUAAUAGAAAAAAGCUAGCAUGUCACCUUUGUGCUUCCAUAUCAUCCAGAUUAUUAAAUGACGUCCUUCCGAAUCCGAAUCUGGUAUUACGGGGUUCGAAUUUUCAAUUGCCAGAGGAAACACGAAGACUUGCAACCGAUGAACUUAAGAGGAUAGAGAGAGAAGAGGCGGAACUCAGGGAAGAAAACCGAAAACUCAGGGACAUUUUUGUCUGCAAAGUAUGUUUGGAUUCUCAAGCCAGUAUUGUGUUCAUACCAUGUGGCCAUUUUGUAUCGUGUGAUGAUUGUUCGACCAGACUCGACACUUGUGCUAUUUGUAGAUCUCAAAUUCAGCGAAAAGUUUUUGCUCAAUAAAUAUGUACUGCAUUUUAUU